UCACACGAUCAAUGUUUAUGUGACGCUUCCGCAAACAGCAUGGCCAGCAUUAAAAACACCAUCAAGCAAUGCUGUACUGACCCAUUUAUACGAAAAUUGGUGUUCAGUUGGGGUGUGUUCCUAGGAGCUAUCUACCUUGCACAUGACAUGUCAGCCGCAGAAGCGUUGGAAGCUGCAGCAGCUGCACCAGGGUUGGCAGACCAGGCAGAAAAAUUGGCAGGAGAGGUUUCCAGGCUGGCUGCAAACUGAUACUGUACUAGGACCUUCCAUCAUGAUCAGGUUCAGGAAACCCUGAUUGGUUCCAGUGACUGUUACAAGAUCCUGACAAAAGAGUUGAGUGACUGGGAGAGACAUUGGAUCAAUCAUAUUAGAUGGUUGAGGACAAUGACAAUGUGUGCCUGAGAGUGAACAUGUGUAUGACUGAUCUUUUACUUGGUUUACAACAUAUGUAAUAAAACUGUACAAAUGGUUUGAAACCAU